rnacentral:rRNA from 1 species
AUGAACGCUGGCGGCGUGCCUAAUACAUGCAAGUCGAACGAGUUCUGAUUAUUGAAAGGUGCUUGCAUCUUGAUUUUAAUUUUGAACGAGUGGCGGACGGGUGAGUAACACGUGGGUAACCUGCCCUUAAGUGGGGGAUAACAUUUGGAAACAGAUGCUAAUACCGCAUAAAUCCAAGAACCGCAUGGUUCUUGGCUGAAAGAUGGCGUAAGCUAUCGCUUUUGGAUGGACCCGCGGCGUAUUAGCUAGUUGGUGAGGUAACGGCUCACCAAGGCAAUGAUACGUAGCCGAACUGAGAGGUUGAUCGGCCACAUUGGGACUGAGACACGGCCCAAACUCCUACGGGAGGCAGCAGUAGGGAAUCUUCCACAAUGGACGCAAGUCUGAUGGAGCAACGCCGCGUGAGUGAAGAAGGCUUUCGGGUCGUAAAACUCUGUUGUUGGAGAAGAAUGGUCGGCAGAGUAACUGUUGUCGGCGUGACGGUAUCCAACCAGAAAGCCACGGCUAACUACGUGCCAGCAGCCGCGGUAAUACGUAGGUGGCAAGCGUUAUCCGGAUUUAUUGGGCGUAAAGCGAGCGCAGGCGGUUUUUUAAGUCUGAUGUGAAAGCCCUCGGCUUAACCGAGGAAGUGCAUCGGAAACUGGGAAACUUGAGUGCAGAAGAGGACAGUGGAACUCCAUGUGUAGCGGUGAAAUGCGUAGAUAUAUGGAAGAACACCAGUGGCGAAGGCGGCUGUCUGGUCUGUAACUGACGCUGAGGCUCGAAAGCAUGGGUAGCGAACAGGAUUAGAUACCCUGGUAGUCCAUGCCGUAAACGAUGAAUGCUAGGUGUUGGAGGGUU